GACGAACGUUGGCGGCGUGCUUAACACAUGCAAGUCGAACGGAAAGGCCCUGCUUUUGUGGGGUGCUCGAGUGGCGAACGGGUGAGUAACACGUGAGUAACCUGCCCUUGACUUUGGGAUAACUUCAGGAAACUGGGGCUAAUACCGGAUAGGAGCUCCUGCUGCAUGGUGGGGGUUGGAAAGUUUCGGCGGUUGGGGAUGGACUCGCGGCUUAUCAGCUUGUUGGUGGGGUAGUGGCUUACCAAGGCUUUGACGGGUAGCCGGCCUGAGAGGGUGACCGGCCACAUUGGGACUGAGAUACGGCCCAGACUCCUACGGGAGGCAGCAGUGGGGAAUAUUGCACAAUGGGCGGAAGCCUGAUGCAGCAACGCCGCGUGCGGGAUGACGGCCUUCGGGUUGUAAACCGCUUUCGCCUGUGACGAAGCGUGAGUGACGGUAAUGGGUAAAGAAGCACCGGCUAACUACGUGCCAGCAGCCGCGGUGAUACGUAGGGUGCGAGCGUUGUCCGGAUUUAUUGGGCGUAAAGGGCUCGUAGGUGGUUGAUCGCGUCGGAAGUGUAAUCUUGGGGCUUAACCCUGAGCGUGCUUUCGAUACGGGUUGACUUGAGGGAGGUAGGGGAGAAUGGAAUUCCUGGCGGAGCGGUGGAAUGCGCAGAUAUCAGGAGGAACACCAGUGGCGAAGGCGGCUCUCUGGGCCUUUCCUGACGCUGAGGAGCGAAAGCGUGGGGAGCGAACAGGCUUAGAUACCCUGGUAGUCCACGCUGUAAACGGUGGGUACUAGGUGUGGGGUCCAUUCCACGGGUUCCGUGCCGUAGCUAACGCUUUAAGUACCCCGCCUGGGGAGUACGGCCGCAAGGCUAAAACUCAAAGGAAUUGACGGGGCCCCGCACAAGCGGCGGAGCAUGCGGAUUAAUUCGAUGCAACGCGUAGAACCUUACCUGGGUUUGACAUGGAUCGGGAGUGCUCAGAGAUGGGUGUGCCUCUUUUGGGGUCGGUUCACAGGUGGUGCAUGCCUGUCGUCAGCUCGUGUCGUGAGAUGUUGGGUUAAGUCCCGCAACGAGCGCAACCCUUGUUCACUGUUGCCAGCACGUUAUGGUGGGGACUCAGUGGAGACCGCCGGGGUCAACUCGGAGGAAGGUGGGGAUGACGUCAAGUCAUCAUGCCCCUUAUGUCCAGGGCUUCACGCAUGCUACAAUGGCUGGUACAGAGAGUGGCGAGCCUGUGAGGGUGAGCGAAUCUCGGAAAGCCGGUCUCAGUUCGGAUUGGGGUCUGCAACUCGACCUCAUGAAGUCGGAGUCGCUAGUAAUCGCAAAUCAGCAACGCUGCGGUGAAUACGUUCCCGGGGCC
rnacentral:rRNA from 1 species